GACGAACGCUGGCGGCGUGCUUAACACAUGCAAGUCGAACGGAAAGGCCCUGCUUUUGUGGGGUGCUCGAGUGGCGAACGGGUGAGUAACACGUGAGUAACCUGCCCUUGACUUUGGGAUAACUUCAGGAAACUGGGGCUAAUACCGGAUAGGAGCUCCUGCUGCAUGGUGGGGGUUGGAAAGUUUCGGCGGUUGGGGAUGGACUCGCGGCCUAUCAUCUUGUUGGUGGGGUAGUGGCUUACCAAGGCUUUGACGGGUAGCCGGCCUGAGAGGGUGACCGGCCACAUUGGGGCUGAGAUACGGCCCAGACUCCUACGGGAGGCAGCAGUGGGGAAUAUUGCACGAUGGGCGGAAGCCUGAUGCAGCAACGCCGCGUGCGGGAUGACGGCCUUCGGGUUGUAAACCGCUUUCGCCUGUGACGAAGCGUGAGUGACGGUAAUGGGUAAAGAAGCACCGGCUAACUACGUG
rnacentral:rRNA from 1 species